rnacentral:rRNA from 1 species
UACGUAGGGGGCAAGCGUUAUCCGGAUUUACUGGGUGUAAAGGGAGCGUAGACGGCAGAGCAAGUCUGAAGUGAAAGCCCGCGGCCCAACUGCGGGACUGCUUUGGAAACUGCCCGGCUAGGGUGCUGGAGGGGUAAGCGGAAUUCCUAGUGUAGCGGUGAAAUGCGUAGAUAUUAGGAGGAACACCAGUGGCGAAGGCGGCUUACUGGACAGUAACUGACGUUGAGGCUCGGAAGCGUGGGGAGCAAACAGG